rnacentral:lncRNA from 1 species
UCAGGUAACGAGGGCACGUUGUCUCCUAGCUCAGUCGCAAGUCGCUCAGCAGUGUCCGUUAAACCAUGAACCGAAGCAGUGAUAUAAGCGAGAGGCAAAUGACCAGCAUUCUCAAGUAUCUUGACACGCUCUUUAACAUCUCCUAGGUAGAGAGCAUUGUGAAACUGACCCAUUACAUUGUUCUUCACUUCUGCAAUCUUCAUCAACUUUGAAAGCUUGUCCAACUUACCAGUAAUGAGGUAAAGAAAAGAUAACCUCUCAAAGUUCUUCGUCUGCUGGUACGCAAAUUCAACAAUUCCAGCAUUACCUUGGCGAAGAGCCUCCACCCCAAGUCUAUACCACUGCUCUUUCUCAUUAAUCUCUGUAGCGGAUGCAACAGCGAUGCUGAUGUUGCCACUUUCAAGAGCCAGGUUGAACCGGACUCUCUCGUCUUCAACAAAAUGGAGGGCAACUUCAGGGAAUCCUUUCUGCUGCAGGUAAGCAAUCAUAGCCUGUCCGCAGAGCUGGGAGUUCUUUAUCAUGCUCAUGACAUGAUCAUAUCUCUUUCUCAGCAGUGCAAGCUUGAAAAUGUAUUCAGUUGCAUUGAUGGUGAUUGCCCUGUUUUUCCCAUCCCGGUCCAAGCAAAAGAUUGUGUUUCCUGACACCUUGGUGAUAUAGAUAGGGACAUCCAGGGUCCGGAUUAUCCCACUAUCUCCAUUAGGAAGACAGUACUUGAUAUGGUUCAAAGUUGUGUAGAUGAAGACACCAUUGUCAUCCCAAGCUCCACUCUUCACACGUAUUGUCUCAUGAAGUGUGCACUGGAGGACAAGUUUUUUGCUCGCAAUAAUGAUAGUGUGUUUGCUGAGCAAAGCAACAUUCUCCAUAUCAUUGGACCAAACAACAUACCUAACAAACGGUGUCUGAAGUUCACCAAGAACAAGCCUUUGCUGAAGGUCAAAUAUUACCACUUUAUCCUCUGAUCUACAAAGCAAAUUUCCAGUCCCAGCAUAAAAGAUAGCAUCUGUGGGUAUAGGCAGAGAACUCUUCUUAACCACCUCAUUCUUGAGAUUCUUGACUAGUACCUGGCUGGUGCUUUUCUCAAGAACAGCAAAGCGGUUACGGGCAAUGAAUACAGCAGAACCACCUGUCCCCCUCUUUGCAUCUUGCACAACGUCACUCCUGCCAACACUAUCUUUCGGUAUGAUGUACAACUCGUACGAACCACCAUCCAGAUCUGAGCAGAUCAGAACUGCAUUUUCUGUCGGACUGUAUGAUAGAGUCCUUGGACUUUGAUUCAAGCUUGGUGUACCAGGACGCCGUAUAGGGAUAACUUGGGCAUCUUUCUGAGUUGAAUAUUCGUAGUACCUCAAAAAUCUAUCUUUGGCAUAGAACAGAGAAUCACCACUCACAGCAAAUGCAGGACGUUCUCUCUCAAGUUUGAACACGAUCAUACCAUUGUCAUGCCCCGCUGCCAGUAAAUUGAUCUCAGGGUGAACUGCAAGAAUCCAGAACCGAUCAUGUUCCCGGCGAAAUGUUUGGAUUCCAGUUCGCUUGGUAGCAUCCCAGACACGAAUACUUUUGUCCUCAGAGUUGGAUACAAUUAUGUCCUGUUUUGCAUGGAACAUAACAGAUGAAACGUUAUUCAUGUGGCCUCGCAGUGUAUCCACCUCCCAAGCUUUAGUUUCUGCAAUAAAAUUGAAAAGAAGGCAUUAAUUACAUCAGCUCCGCUAUUAUAAGAACUGCAGUUUAGUGUCCAAAAGACAGAUCACUAUCUUUCGGUAUGAUGUACAACUCGUACGAACCACCAUCCAUAUCUGAGCAGAUCAGAACUGCGUUUUCCGUCGGACUGUGUGAUAGAGUCCUUGGACUUUGAUUCAAGCUUGGUGUACCAGGACGCCUUAUAGGGAUAACUUGGGCAUCUUUCUGAGUUGAAUAUUCGUAGUACCUCAAAAAUCUAUCUUUGGCAUAGAACAGAGAAUCACCACUCACAGCAAAUGCAGGACGUUCUCUCUCAAGUUUGAACACGAUCAUACCAUUGUCAUGCCCCGCUGCAAGUAAAUUAAUCUCAGGGUGAACUGCAAGAAUCCAGAACCGAUCAUGUUCGCGGCGAAAUGUUUGGAUUCCAGUUCGCUUGGUAGCAUCCCAGACACGAAUACUUUUGUCCUCAGAGUUGGAUACAAUUAUGUCUUGUUUUGCAUGGAACAUAACAGAUGAAACGUUAUUCAUGUGGCCUCGCAGUGUAUCCACCUCCCAAGCUUUAGUUUCUGCAAUAAAAUUGAAAAGAAGGCAUUAAUUACAUCAGCUCCGCUAUUAUAAGAACUGCAGUUUAGUGUCCAAAAGACAGAUUUUUAAAGUAAAAUUACCAUUCAUACGCCACAGCUUCACUUGGCGGUCAUCCGCACCAGAGACGAUGAGAGGAAGAGUGGGAUGAAAAGAAGCCCAGUUUACUCCUCUAUCAUGACCUUCGAGGACAUACUUAACAAUAGCGUCAACACCACCAAAAAGAUCAGAGUUCAUCUGCGUAAAUCGCAUGAGGUCAUCAGCAGGAGAUACUGUCUUCUUCUUAAGAGAACCAAUAUCCCAGACACGGACAGUCUGAUCCAGAGAUGCUGAUACGACAAGGUCUUCUUUAGGAUGGAAAGAAGCACACAUGACAUAAUGAUUGUGGCCAGUCAACACAGAGAUACAAGUCCGUGACUGCCAGUUCCAAAUGCGGAUAGUCUGAUCGUCACUAGCACUCACAAUCCACGGGUUCUCGUGGUGAAAUUGGACAGUGCGGAUAUAGUCGAGAUGGCCGAGAAGGGUGAAGAGGCACCUGUGUGUUUUGUGGUUCCAAACUUUAAUCUUGUAAUCAUCACCUGCAAACACACAAUGUUGUCAAUGCCAUCAAGGAUUAGAAAAUAAUCGUAAUGAAGAAGAAUCCACAAGAAAAUUGCAAUUACAUAUAUUCAUUACAUGCUUAUGUCCAUAACACUAGUAAGCACACAUAACAUGAGAUCUGAUUUCAAUUGACUACGUCCAAUAAACGGAGGAAUAUCAACAACUACAACAAACAAUCCUCUUUAAAGACAUCAAGCUAGAUCUAUAAAUCGAGAACACUACUAAGCAGAUUGAUCAUGGCUUAUAUAGGAUGAUGACAAUUUUAAUAAAUACGAACUUGUAGCUCAAAAUCUAGAUGAAUGUAAUGUUGAGAUUAACGAAGCAUAUACUACCUCCGGAGACGAAUAGAGGCUGAGAAUUGUGAAAGUGAACACCACGAACAGGACCUUCGUGCUCGUAGAACCGAUCGAUCAAAGUACCCAUACGAUAAUCCCAGAGCUGGAUCACACCACUGUGCAAACUGGCGAGGAUCCAUGGUCGCUUAGGGUGGAAGGUGAGGCCCUUAACUCUGUUACUCUUCGUCUGGAACUUCGUGAACAUAAUUUCCCAACUAGAAAUCCUCCUAUGGAUUCGAAGAACGGGUAAACAAAGACCUAGGAGAUGAUCACGAAUGAAGAAGGAUCAACUCGAAAAUCAGAGUUCGUAUGUAAAGCUCUUUGCUUGAGAGAUAAGUAAUAGUUUGAAGAAGAGUUUAUUUUGAUUGUCUAAUGAAACUGCCGUGAGGCUUACAAUUAUAUAAGAAAUCGCAAAGAGAAUAUUAAAAGGAAAAAUACAAACUAAAAGAUAAAAAUAAACUCAUAAGAAAAAAGGAAAACUAAAAGAUAAUGAUAAAUAAGCUUUGUGACUUAUCCUGUCACAAACAAGCAGAUCCCAAAAUAUACAAAGAAGAGGAGGAGAAAUAGAAAUUCACCUCGGAUCGGUUUGCAGUGACGCAGACGGACGGUAAGAAGAGGAGGAGAAAGAAGAGAGUCGGUAUCUAGUCAACAUCUCAGGAAUAAACCAGGGCUUCCUCCCGGUGCGGUAUCUUGGACUUGCUCUUUCUACAAAAAAAGCUAUCGCUCCUCAACUGUGAGCCCCUGCUUCAAAAGAUUAAAUCAAAGAUGGAGUUGUGGACUACAAACUACCUUUCAUUAGCGGGUAGACUCCAGCUCCUAAGCUCAGUUAUAUCGGGCAUCAUUAACUUGUGGUGCGCGGGUUUUAUUCUCCCUAUAGAGUGCAUAAAUCAGAUCAAUAGUAUGUGUUCAGCUUUCCUUUGGAAAGGGACUCUUGAAGGAAGAUAUGUCGCCCGUGUAGCUUGGGAAACAGUCACCUCUCCAAAAGCAGAAGGAAGACUGGGCUUAAAAGACAUCCGUGUGUGGAACAAGGCGUGUAUGUUUAGGCUCCUGUGGAUGAUGAUGUUAUAUUUCAAAACAGAAUCAGCUUGGGUCACUUGGAUACAGGACACUGUAAUCAAAGACAAUUGCUUCUGGGAGAUGAAGGAAAAAACAAACUCAUACUUGGCUUUUCAAAAGGUUCUUAGGACUGAGGCAUGAAGCAACUCAAUGGUUACAGAUUAAACCAGGGAUGGCUCCUCCAUCAGAUUCUGGUACUCCCAUUGGUCCUCUUAUCAAGUUCGUCGGCGCCAAUGGUCCAAGAUUAUCUGGUAUCCCCAUCUGCGACCUUAGCAUCUAUUUGGAAUGGGUCUUCCUGGAACAAAUCCAGAUUCACAUGUCCACAAUCACCUUAAAGGAAUCGGAAACAACAACAACAACAAGUUUGUUAUUAGUCAAAUCUAUGACUCGCUCCCGACCAAAGGUACGGUGGAAUAAAGCAGUGUGGUGUUCAAAAGGAAUACCAAAACAUAAAACUCUCACUUGUCGUGGGGUCUCCAUACAGAUGCUUCUUGCCUUCUAUCCGGAAUCUCGGAACCACAUCUUCUUCUGUUGCGGCUUCACUCCUUCAAUCUGGGCGCCUCUCGUCUAAACUCCAGUUAUCUCUGCCUUCUCAGUCUUGGGAUGAUACUCUUAACGCCAUCUCAGGCUCAACCCAACACCAGUUCUUGGCUCGAAUUGCUUGGCAAGCAGUCAUCUAUGAGACUUGGAGGAAACGAAAUCACCGUCUUCAUCGCGGUUCAUUCUCUUCUCUCUAAUUGAGCCUACAAUAACUAAUAGGAUAUCUUCUCUUAGGGAAGAGAACCCUGAAGAAUCGAGCAUAUGCAUGCAACUUUGGUUUUCCUUCUCGAUCCCUUCGUCUUUUUUGUUGCGGUGAUGACCCUCUCGUCAAUUCACGGAAGUGGCGACUGUGUCUUUACUCACGAGACCAACUUACAGCAGGCCUCAAGGGCUUCUUCACUCAUACUGGUGGGCCUCUAUAGAUGCACCCCAUCAGAUUGGGCCUCAAAACAACCUAUGGCUGGGCCACUAGUCUGUGUCUGAUCAGAAUGUUAAUGUGUGGGUAUUUCACUCUCUGCACAAUGUUUAUAUUAAUUGGAAUAAGGGAAUAGCAAAUACGCAUAAGUCAAAAUUACCAACAUCUCUGAGAAACAAAUGCAAAACAUUACAAAACUCUGCAAAAUUCGUCUAUAUUAUUAUUCUAUCAUCAUAGUGAUCGAGUUUUAAAAUCCAACAAACGUAAUUGAAAUGUUCUGGAGAAUGUAAAUAUAAAACCAAACAAACCAAAUUAUAGAGAAGAAGCUAAAGUUCUCUCAUGCGUUGUCACUAAAGAUAAGAAACAACUUGAAAGACUCAAAAAGAGUAACAGAACCUGCAACGAAGAAGUUGACAAACGAGAUGUAAGCACACAGUCACAAAAAACAAAAGCACACCAAUCUUUUUCAGUUAAUAGAGCAUCUAGUACACUUACCUCACGUUUGAAAAGGAUGAAUUGAUCACCGGACCUGAGACGGAGAGCAUAUCAAACCAGAUGCGUCUGCGCCAAUGACUGCAAGAUCACAGACCCCGCAUAUGUUUCCUUCCUGGCUCGGUACAAACCUGGCGGUGCAGUAGGGACAGGAAACGUCCUUCUGACCUCUGUAGAUUGGGACAUAGGUUGACCCGCAUAUCACAAACGGGUUCCUGAAGUCGUAGUUGAGCUCGGUUGUAUCAGUCAUGUUGCGUUCAGCGGCUUGAACAAUUUGUCUAGCCGUCUUCGCCUGGCUCUCCACUGGGUUUGUUUCCAACAAUCUCUUGGCGAAGUUAUAGGCAGUGGCGAGGUUCUUUGACUUGUAGCAGACACCCAUCGCACUAAACAGCGCAAGACGCAAGUGAGGUAAUUGGAGGUUGCAGUGUGUGAAGUAAGCAGCGAGCUCCUGCUGCCUCACUGGAUCAUCUUUCGUCUCUCUUCUCUUAAGCUCCCUUUUAAGACCGAGGACAUAUUCUUUAACGAUUAUGACUAGUUCCUUAACCUCAUCUACUUCACUUCUUGACUCGACCACCACUAGAGGGAUGGUGUGGAGGAUAGAGAGGAAGAGACGGAGAGCCUCAGUCAAUUUCCCACUUGUUGUGGCUUUGUAGCCAGAUUUGAGCUUCUCUUCUUGUUGAGAAAAAUCAUAAACAAGAGCUGGUGGGCCACGGACGUUGGGACUGUUUGACUCGGUCCAUCCACGUUCAAUGGCAAGUGGAACCACAGGAGAUGAAGAAAAGGCACGCAGGUAGCUAUGGCUGCCACUGAACAAAUCAAUAAACAUCGAUUUCAAGGGAGCAAAGUUCUUUAUGCCAAGCUGUCUGUUGAGCAGACGCAUUGCAGUGUCGAAGCUUCCCGCUGCAGCUUGCUCAGCAGCAAGGGAGGUUUUCUGGCUCCAAAUAUGGCUUACGGGCAUACCUUGAGUAGGUGUCACGAAGACGGACGAACGUGCGUUAGCAGAGGCCUUAGGAGUGUCAAGCUCUGGUGGGAGGUCUAAGCCCUCUAGUUCACCCCAUCCACCUUCUUCAUCAUUUUCAUCUUCUGCUCCUUCUGCUUCCGCCAAAAUGGCUUCGAUGUCUCUGUUCUCCAUUCCAUCAACAUCGACCAUGUCGAGGCCCUCACCCCAAUCACCACCAACAUCUUCUUCAUCUUCAUCAACAGCACCUCCUCUGGCCGCACUCUCAAGUCCGCCUUCAAAUAUUCCCUUCAUCACUCUUAGAAGAGGCCAAUCACCACCACACAUGACGGGAGAUGGUGGCAUUAAAAGCGACGGAGUUUUCCCCUCAGGUAACGAGGGCACGUUGUCUCCUAGCUCAGUCGCAAGUCGCUCAGCAGUGUCCGUUAAACCAUGAACCGAAGCAGUGAUAUAAGCGAGAGGCAAAUGACCAGCAUUCUCAAGUAUCUUGACACGCUCUUUAACAUCUCCUAGGUAGAGAGCAUUGUGAAACUGACCCAUCACGUCAAGUUUGAACACGAUCAUACCAUUGUCAUGCCCCGCUGCCAGUAAAUUGAUCUCAGGGUGAACUGCAAGAAUCCAGAACCGAUCAUGUUCCCGGCGAAAUGUUUGGAUUCCAGUUCGCUUGGUAGCAUCCCAGACACGAAUACUUUUAUCCUCAGAGUUGGAUACAAUUAUGUCCUGUUUUGCAUGGAACAUAACAGAAGAAACGUUAUUCAUGUGACCUCGCAGUGUAUCCACCUCCCAAGCUUUAGUUUCUGCAAUAAAAUUGAAAAGAACGCAUUAAUUACUACAUCAACUCCGCUAUUACAAGAACUGCAGUUUAGUGUCCAAAAGAUAGACACAUGAUCAUAUCUCUUUCUCAGCAGUGCAAGCUUGAAAAUGUAUUCAGUUGCAUUGAUGGUGAUUGCCCUGUUUUUCCCAUCCCGGUCCAAGCAAAAGAUUGUGUUUCCAGAAACCUUGGUGAUAUAGAUAGGCACAUCCAGGGUUCGGAUGAUCCCGACUUUGAAAGCUUGUCCAACUUACCAGUAAUGAGGUAAAGAAAAGAUAACCUCUCAAAGUUCUUCGUUUGCUGGUACGCAAAUUCAACAAUUCCAGCAUUACCUUGGCGAAGAGCCUCCACUCCAAGUCUAUACCACUGCUCUUUCUCAUUAAUCUCUGUAGCGGACGCCACAGCGACGCUGAUGUUGCCACUUUCAAGAGCCAGGUUGAAUCGGACUCUCUCUCCCAAGCUUUAGUUUCUGCAAUAAAAUUGAAAAGAAGGCAUUAAUUA